rnacentral:rRNA from 1 species
UACGUAGGGGGCUAGCGUUGUCCGGAUUUAUUGGGCGUAAAGAGCGUGUAGGCGGCCAGGUAGGUCUGCUGUGAAAACUCGAGGCUCAACCUCGAGACGUCGGCGGAAACCAUCUGGCUAGAGUCCGGAAGAGGAGAGUGGAAUUCCUGGUGUAGCGGUGAAAUGCGCAGAUAUCAGGAAAAACACCCGUGGCGAAGGCGGCUCUCUGGGACGGUACUGACGCUGAGACGCGAAAGCGUGGGGAGCGAACAGG